rnacentral:rRNA from 1 species
GAUGAACGCUGGCGGCGUGCCUAAUACAUGCCAGUCGAGCGAACAGACGCGGAGCUUUCUCCUCUGACGUUAGCGUCGGACGGGUGAGUAACACGUGGCUCACCUACCUAUAAGACUGGGAUAACUUCGGGAAACCUGAGCUAAUACCCGCUAAUAUAUUGAACCGCAUGGUUCAAUAGUGAAAGACGCUUUUGCUGUCACUUAUAGAUGGAUCGGGGUCGGAUUAGCUAGUUGGUAGGGUAACGGCGAACCAAGGCGACGAUGCGUAGCCGACCUGAGAGGAUGAUCAGUCACACUGGAACUGAGACACGGUCCAGACUCCUACGGGAGGCAGCAGUGGGGAAUAUUGGACAAUGGGCGAAAGCCUGAUCCAGCCAUGCCGCGUGAGUGAAGAAGGCCUUCGGGUUGUAAAGCGCUUUUGUUAGGAAAGAAAACAUUUAGAAGAAUACCCGCGGGGGAUGACGGUACCCAAAGAAUAAGCACCGGCUAACUUCGUG